rnacentral:misc_RNA from 1 species
GAUGAAGAACGUAGCGAAAUGCGAUAAUUAAUGUGAAUUGCAGAAUUUAGUGAAUCAUCGAAUCUUUGAACGCACAUUGCGCCCCUUGGUAUUCCGGGGGGCAUGCCUGUCCGAGCGUCAUUUGCAACCCUCAAGCCCGGCUUGUGUGAUGGGUGCCGUCCCCUACGGGACGCGCCCCGAAGGCAAUGGCGGCGUCGCGGUUAUCCGAUCAGCCAAAGUGUAUGGGGCUUUGUCACUCACUUUACGGCCCGGACCGGCGCCAGUCCGAAUCAAUCUUUUUUCUAAAGUUGACCUCGGAUCAGGUAGGGAUACCCGCUGAACUUAAGCAUAUCAAUAAGCGGAGGA